AAAGAAGAAGAAGAGCGAGAGAUGUUGGAAGAGGAAGCAAAAAUAGAAGAAGUGGUUGUUAAGAAAAACAUAGAGGAGAUAGAAAUGAAAAAUUUGAAUAAGAAUGAGAAGAAAGAUGAGGAAGGAAAAGCCAUGGUUGAAAAAAGUAAAAGAAAGAAAAGAAAAAAAUUGAAAAUAAAGAAAAGGAGGAAAAAGAAAAAGAGAAGGUCAAUGAAGGAGAAACUUAAGAGAAAGAGGAAGAGAGAAAAGAAAAAAAA
rnacentral:lncRNA from 1 species